CGAUGUAAUUUGAUUGGAUCCGAUACUUAGAAAUAACCAAUCAGAAACUGUGUAACAAAUGCAACACAAUCAGUGCGUUCAGUAAGUGUAACGUUUCAAGAUGGCGGAGCGAAUUGCAUGGUUAUUCUUUCUACUCGAUGGAUUCGCAGAUAAUUCGAAAAUAGAUCAGAUUGGGAUCAAUAACUUUAUUGCAUACGAUCAUUUACAUGUGUUGCCAGGUGUGUGUUGCCAGUAAUGGUUGAAGAUAUGCCAAACAAAUUGUGCCACUCUAUACAGACAGAUUUCAGGUCUCAAUUUUGACUUCAAAGGUCAACAUAUCAUUGAUAUCAGGAAUCCUGUGAAACUGUGACCCCAUGUAUGGUACGUGAGCGCACAAUGUCUGUUGAUAAAAGGAUAUUGGCAACUUGUGGGUGCUUGGUAACCAAGAAUCAUACAGGAGCGUGGCUGACUGAUUUGGAAUAAGCAAAGUCAUUUCAACAUGUAGAGUCUUGUCGACAACGAUGGAUCAGUACAUCAGAUUUCCAGAAUCUCGUCAUGAGCUGAAGACCAUUGCCGAUGGAUUUCAUCAACUUUGUGGAAUGCCUGGCGUUGUAGGGGCUGUUGAUGGAUCCCACAGUGCAUGUCCUGCCCCAACAUCCGAGCAUAGGUCCUUGUUUAUCAACAGUUUAGUUCUUCAAGCAGUCUGUUACAGUAACUUGAAAUGUUUGGACAUAUGCCCUGGAUGGCCAAGUUCUGUGCAUGAUCCCAUGUAUAUAUGAACAGCCCAGUAGCGCAUAAAUUGAAAAUCUUCUGAAUGAGUACCAUGUUCUCGAGGAUUCAGCAUACCACCUGACAAGAAAUCUGCUUGUUCUGUAUCGAGGCCAUGAACAUUUGCACCAUUUGCGAGAGAAAUCCAACAAAUGCCAUUCAUCUAAGAGUUGAUGUGGAACAGGCAAUUGGUCCCUUGAAAUGCAAAUUCAGGCGGCUGAAAUACUUGAAAGUGCUAGUGGAGCUAGAGAUGUUGCUAGUCAUCUUUGCUUGUUGUGUCCUUCACAACUUCAUUCUGCUGCAAGAUUCAGACACAGAACCUGAAGUUGACACAUUUGAUCAGACAGACAUAUAUGCCUCCGAGGCAGUUGGAAAUGGCCAGGCCCACCGAGUAGUAGAGGAGAAGAGGCGUGCUAUUGCCCUGGAACUGUGAUGUGUUGACAUGUGAUUUGACUUCCCUACUGCGAUAUUUGUGCCUGUGUUCGUGCUAAAUAGUUGAUAAAUAAUUGGAAGUCAUAACCUGAUGGUGUUGAUGGGACUAUGAAUUUUGUUAAGGUAAAAAG